rnacentral:rRNA from 1 species
UACGUAGGGGGCAAGCGUUGUCCGGAAUCAUUGGGCGUAAAGCGCGUGUAGGCGGCCCGAUAAGUCCGCUGUGAAAGUCCAGGGCUCAACCCUGGGAUGCCGGUGGAUACUGUCGGGCUCGAGUCCGGAAGAGGCGAGUGGAAUCCGUGGUGUAGCGGUGAAAUGCGCAGAUAUCAGGAGGAACACCAAUGGCGAAGGCAGCUCGCUGGGACGUGACUGACGCUGAGACGCGAAAGCGUGGGGAGCAAACAGG